UACGUAGGGGGCAAGCGUUGUCCGGAAUCAUUGGGCGUAAAGGGCUCGUAGGCGGUUUGUCGCGUCGGGAGUGAAAUCCACUGGCUUAACUGGUGGCUUGCUUUCGAUACGGGCAGACUGGAGGUAUGCAGGGGAGAACGGAAUUCCUGGUGUAGCGGUGAAAUGCGCAGAUAUCAGGAGGAACACCGGUGGCGAAGGCGGGUCUCUGGGCCGAUACUGACGCUGAGGAGCGAAAGCGUGGGGAGCGAACAGG
rnacentral:rRNA from 1 species